GCCAGCCUGAACUGCAUAGCCAGACCUUGUCUCAAAAAAAAAAAAAAAAAAAGAAUACCCUUACAGAGUCUGACACUUGGCUUCUCCGGGCUUGAGCUCUUCACACGAGUGUACCGAUCUUUGAUUUUUGCAACUAAACCUAUGUGUUCACUUCUGUGUGUCCUUCCCAAUUCUAUCUUCGGGAAACAAGAACCCAAGAGUCCAAACUGCUGAAAACAACCCUGGGCAAUUUAGGGAGACCCUGUCUCAGAAUUUUAAAAACAUAUAUAUAAUAUACCUGUGUAUUUUUUUUUUGAAGUGCUGGGGAUGUAGCUCAGUGGUAGAAAGGUUGCCCAGCGUGUGCAAGGCCUUGGGUUCCAUCCUCAGCACUGAAAUAAAUAAAUAAAUAAAUGCAAAUUAAUGUAUAAGAGAGAAUAAAAAGCAUUAAAAAGUGGCCAGGACUGGAGAGAGAGACCGACGUUCCCUCUGGGGAACACGCGCUUCCUCCCACUCCUGAUUGCAGGUCGCCUCCUUGCGCACAAUGAAAUUCUUCCCGAGAGUACUUUAGCAUGCUGUGUCUCAGCUACAAGAUCAGGAUGAGUAACUCCGACCUCACGGGACUAUACCGUACUAUACAAACAUGGUUAAAGAUGGGGUCAAAAACUCGGAGACGCUUGGUCCUAACCGCCAGCUCAGUGGGAGCAUUCUGUGCGCGUGCGUGGCGGUGGCGCGAGGGGCCGUGGAGCCUCCAGAGGCCGCGCACGCGCAGAAAGGGGGCGCGCGCCAGGAGGAGGGACCGGUACUCCAGCCUUGUCCUCUCCCAGUCCAGGGCGUCUCUGCAUUUUACCACACCCAGCCUCUUCCAUGCAGCCCGCCGUAGCUCCGCCCCAAUGGCAGUCUCUUCUUUUCCCCUGAGGCCUCGAGCCUGGCCACGCCCCCUCGCCCGGAUCCCUGUGACGUCACCGAGACCUACGCGAGGCGCGCGGCCGAGAGUUGACGGACGGCCCCUGAUGUCUUUGGUGCUUGAUUCAGAAUAUGUCCAGAUACAUCACAGACAUUAA
rnacentral:lncRNA from 1 species